rnacentral:tRNA from 1 species
GGUCUUAUAGUUAAAUUAAUUAUAAUAUAAAAUUGCAAAUUUUAAGAUGAAAGAAAUUCUAAGGCUU